rnacentral:sRNA from 1 species
AAGCAAGAACCCCGGAUCGGGUAAAGG